rnacentral:lncRNA from 1 species
CAUGAGGCGUCCAUUUUAUGUUCAAACUUUCCACUGUUCGAAAGUUGGUUGCUUCUGUUCUUUUAUUCUUAUUUUUUAUUCCUAUUUCUAUGUAUACCUGUAAUAUAUUUUUUUGUUUUUGGUGGAAUUCGUAUUGGUCAUAUUUUAUUCAUACAGAUAGUGAUUAUUUAACGUUUGUGGCAUUCUAUUAGACAGUUUUAUCUACAGUAAUCCUGGCGUCACACAUUGGCGUAUAGACCGUCGUGCACCAGACGUACAGAGAAAAUUGACUAAGUCUGUAUACGUUAGUUGCACGCCAGAGGAACGCUAAGCAAUCGUUAAAUGCGCGUUGCAUAAGUUUGAAGAACGUCGAAAUGCAAAGGUAUACGCUUUGGGAACGGUAUAACUCCAGGCAAUUUUUUUGCAGCUUAAAAAUUUUCAUCCAGCUGAAGUGUGUGUCAAGUGUUUAUCUGUACGUUACACGCACGUAAUGCAUAUGCUUCAAGCACGUUGAAAACGUUACAGAUUAGUUUGAGACACAUUUAGGGCACGUUGUAUACUCUUCAAGAUAGUUCGAACUUAACUAAAACGUAUGCGGGUGUGUUUGUAACAAACACCCCAUAAUUAAAUGUCCUAGAUACGACAAGGUUGCUUCUCGAAUACGUUCAAGAAACUUGUUUUCCUUCGUAGCGUGCAUUCACUGUUCGUUAGAAAAAUACGCGACAUAUGUUACUUGAACGCCCGAUAAACGCUUAGGUACCCUUUUCGUACGCCCAAUACACGCUUAAAGCUAGUUGUGCACACGAUACAGAUAUGAUUGACAGGUUAAAUGCCUCCACAAUUUCUAGCGUAUUUGCAGCGUACAUGAUUUCUUUCCACGCCCGGCGUACGUCGGAGCUAAACGCUGAUGUGUGACACCGGUAAUAGUUAAAAGCUAUUUCAGUGUGUUAAGUGUCAAGUUGUUUAAUUUAGCAAUACAAUAUUAUGAUGUGUGCAAAUAAUUCCAAUAUUAUUUUGUGAACCUCACACACUUCCCUUCUUCAAAGUAAAAACAACUGCACACAUACAUGUCUGCAUUGGCUAGAGGUAUAGGGGAGGGUUGAGAUCUCGCAAACAUGUUUAACCCCGCCGCAUCUUUGCGCCUGUCCCAAGUCAGGAGCCUCUGGCCUUUGUUAGUCUUGUAUUUUAACUUUUAGUUUCUUGUGUACAAUUUGGAGUUCAGUAUGGUGUUCAUAAUCAAUGAACUAGUA